rnacentral:rRNA from 1 species
GACGAACCGUGCGAACGUUGUUCGGAAUCACUGGGCUUAAAGGGCGCGUAGGCGGGCAAGCAAGUCCGGGGUGAAAUCUUUCGGCUUAACCGGAAAAGUGCCUUGGAUACUGCUUGUCUGGAGGGAGGUAGGGGCAUGUGGAACUUCCGGUGGAGCGGUGAAAUGCGUUGAUAUCGGAAGGAACGCCGGUGGCGAAAGCGACGUGCUGGACCUCUUCUGACGCUGAGGCGCGAAAGCUAGGGGAGCGAACGG